rnacentral:rRNA from 1 species
UACGUAGGGUCCGAGCGUUGUCCGGAAUUAUUGGGCGUAAAGGGCUCGUAGGCGGUCUGUUGCGUCGGGAGUGAAAACUCACAGCUCAACUGUGAGCUUGCAGGCGAUACGGGCAGACUUGAGUACUUCAGGGGAGACUGGAAUUCCUGGUGUAGCGGUGAAAUGCGCAGAUAUCAGGAGGAACACCGAUGGCGAAGGCAGGUCUCUGGGCCGCUACUGACGCUGAGAAGCGAAAGCAUGGGGAGCGAACAGG